rnacentral:misc_RNA from 1 species
CUGCAAUCCCCUCGCAUUUCAUUUCCACGCAGGCAGCUGACCAUUACAGUCCGCAAUCACUUCGAUGUGAUCAGAGGAUUCUAUGGCCCCUCCGCGCAGCUGCAGUCCACGCAGGCAGCUGUAGAUCUAUGGCCCCUCCGCGCAGCUGCAGUCCACGCAGGCAGCUGUAGAUCUAUGGCCCAUCCGCGCAGGCAGUCUGCAAUCACUUCGCCGCAAUCCCCUCCACGCAGGCAGUCUGCAAUCUCCAUUACACCUCCACGUAGGCAGUCCACAAUCUGCGCCCACAAUCUGCACUGCGCUGAUGAACGUUUCAUGGCACGGUUGCAGGAGCUGCUGUACAAGGUCGUCGGCGACACCAAGGUUGUCUCCGACAUCAGUCUUAGCCCCUGCAGCACGCGCGGGUACCUCUGA